AAGUCGUAACAAGGUUUCCGUAGGUGAACCUGCGGAAGGAUCAUUAAUGAUUUUUAAAGCGAGUCGAGCGUUAAGCGAGGCUUGCGAAAUAUUUAAAACCCCACUCUUUUUAACUUUAAAAAAAUAAAUCAUGACGCAUGAAUUUAAAAAAAGAUCACUUUCAACAACGGAUCUCUUGGCUCUC
rnacentral:misc_RNA from 1 species